rnacentral:rRNA from 1 species
UCGAGCGAGUCCUUCGGGGCUAGCGGCGGACGGGUGAGUAACACGUAGGCAACCUGCCUGUAAGUCUGGGAUAACUAACGGAAACGUUAGCUAAUACCGGAUAAUUGGAAGGAACGCAUCUUCCUUCCUGGAAAGGCGGAGCAAUCUGCCACUUACGGAUGGGCCUGCGGCGCAUUAGCUAGUUGGCGGGGUAACGGCCCACCAAGGCGACGAUGCGUAGCCGACCUGAGAGGGUGAUCGGCCACACUGGGACUGAGACACGGCCCACACUCCUACGGGACGCACCACUAGGGAAUCUUCCGCAAUGGGCGAAAGCCUGACGGACCAACGCCGCGUGAGUGAUGAAGGUUU